rnacentral:rRNA from 1 species
UGAACGCUGGCGGUAGGCCUAACACAUGCAAGUCGAACGGCAGCACAGUAAGAGCUUGCUCUUACGGGUGGCGAGUGGCGGACGGGUGAGGAAUACAUCGGAAUCUACUUUUUCGUGGGGGAUAACGUAGGGAAACUUACGCUAAUACCGCAUACGACCUACGGGUGAAAGCAGGGGAUCUUCGGACCUUGCGCGAUUGAAUGAGCCGAUGUCGGAUUAGCUAGUUGGCGGGGUAAAGGCCCACCAAGGCGACGAUCCGUAGCUGGUCUGAGAGGAUGAUCAGCCACACUGGAACUGAGACACGGUCCAGACUCCUACGGGGGGCAGCAGUGGGGAAUAUUGGACAAUGGGCGCAAGCCUGAUCCAGCCAUACCGCGUGGGUGAAGAAGGCCUUCGGGUUGUAAAGCCCUUUUGUUGGGAAAGAAAAGCAGCAGGUUAAUACCCCGCUGUUCUGACGGUACCCAAAGAAUAAGCACCGGCUAACUUCGUG